CUCUCUCUCUCUCUCUCUCUCUCUCUAUCCCUCCGUCUCUAAUAUGAAUGUAUAUCUACAAAACUUCUCUAUUAUGGCUAUCGAUUGAGGUCAAAGGAGGUUUCUUCUUUGUUCUUCCACUAGAUGAAUUAUGAGAUUCAAGGGUCUAAUCGCUAUAUCUAUUGAGAUCAAGUAUUUAAAAGAAAUAAGUGGAGAUUUAUAAAGAAUUAAAUUACGUGCGUAUAGUGAGAUGGAGCAAUUCAAAAAACAUUGGUGCAGAAAAAAAAUGCAACAAAUAAAAAUAUGCAACUAACAAGAAGGUACCUACUUUUGGUUCCACUAUUCCCCAUAGUAUUAAAUGAGAUGGAGAGAAGUGCUAUCACUAGAUUAUUAUUUUUUUUAUGAUGAUAAUAAUAUAUUUAACAAUAAAUAAGUACAACAAACCUUAUAGAUUGGUGAAAAUAUGCUUCAUUUGGCAAAGGAAAUGUGCCUUCAAAGGAGGAAGUAUCAACAUUUUUUACACAUUUCUCAACAAAUCACCAUAUACUUAAUUUUAAAGCUUUAAUGCUUAUUUCAUCCUUAAAUGGGGCACUGACCAUUUAUCAUCGGGUCUUAAUCUUUAUUUCAGGAUUGAAAUAGUCGAAAUAUUUUUCAUGUAAUUUCGUUUGUUGCUGUUCAAACAAGUACCCACAAAUUUCUAAUGGUAAAUUUAUGAUACUAUGACCUUUUUCUUACGUGAGAAAGCCCACUUGCUAAUGCAAAGAGCUGCCUUGAAGCAUAGGAAAAUAAGAUCCUUUUUUACUUGAGUAUGAACAUCUAUGAGAUUUUUCCAAGGGUUUACACAACAAAAUAUCUUCCUAUUGGCAUGAUAACACUUGAACAUGAUUUGACUAGAUUGUAUUAUCAAAGUUUACAUAUUUUUAAAUCAGCUCAUAUGUGGUUCACUUGACUUACUAAUAUGACCAAAAUAGUAUUCGAAUCACUCAAAAAAUGAAGGUUAUUAAUCAGACAAACCUUAUUUAACUCAAUCAUGACUCUUUUGUAAAUUAUAUAGAGUUAGAUAUUUCUUUUGAUAACUAAAGAAAAGGUAGUAUUAAGAAUGUUCAAUUUGGUGCUUAAGAAAUAACAUAUGUAGGACCAAUUAUAAAAUCUAUUUCUUUUUUUGUUGACAUGUAAAAGAAAGUUUUAUCUUCCUUUUAAAGAGAAAAAAAUAUUUGAAAAUUUCAAACUAAGAAAAAAAUUGAGAUGUGAACAUGAAAACUAAUGAAAUAUGCAUGAAAAGAUGGCAAAUACAUCACAUGAGCUCGAAAUUAUUUUCAUUUUUUAUCAUAUUUAAUUACCUUACAUAAAACACAAUAUAAAACUAAAAUAAAAAACAUGACAUUGGUUUCAUAAUUUAGAUACACAAUAUUAUCUAUUGAUCUUCUCAAUUUAUUUUUUAAGUAAAUACUACAGGAUUUUAAGCGACAUUUAGAUCAUGAGGGGAGAUUGAAUGGGUAUAAUCUUAAUAUUUGUCAAGAUAAUAUAUCUUCUUAAUUAUUUAAUUUUUUCAAUUAUUUUUCAAGUCCUAUAUAUUUCUUGGUUCAAAUAUUGUGAGUAUAAUAUUUUAUAAUGAUUCGACACAUUACCUAUGUCUACUUUCCAAAAGCAAACCGAAUUCUUAAGUUCUAAUAAGAUUAAUCAUCAGAUCUCAAGUACUAAUUAACAAACAACUUUAUUAAUUUUUUUUUACAAAAUUUUCGUUUUGUUUCAUGGCUCUAGAUAGUCAAAAAUUGAUAAUGACUUUAUCUCACUUGAGUAACUUGAGUGAUUAAAUUAUAUUUUAAUUAUGAGCUUAUCUCACAAUAAAUAAGAAAAAUAUUAUAAUGAAUAAAGCCUCAGAAAAUGAUAUAGACUUAUGGUCUAUUCAACAUUUUGAUGAUGAAGAUGAAACUCAAAGGUUGUUUUACAUUGUCAUAUCUUCCUAAUGAGGUUGAUGAAUGAUGAAAGAUUGCCAUUCAAAACUAUUUGAAGAUGUUUAAUGGAUGCCUUAUAAAUAAUCCUCAACUAAGUGAUUUCUCAUAUUAUGACCAAUUAGUAGAGACCUCUUGAUUUCUCACUUAUUUUGUGUGACAAAAUUUCACUUAAAACUUAAAGUUGUAGCUAAGAUAAAGAUAAUAGUUCUCAUUUCUUAUUGUUAGAAAUAUUCUUGAACUCUUGUGACCUUUUAAAAUCUAUGUUUGAAUAAACAUAAAUUAUAAUGACUAAGAACUGUUACCAUAUGUUCAUUAUAUGAUUUUGAUACCCUUGCAUGAAAUCAAUAUGUUCACGUCAUUUUGAUGAGAUUCAAUAGUGUGAACUAUAAAAGGAUAAUUCAUAUCUUAUUAAGUCAAUGGUUUAACAUUCAAAAUUAAUUAGUUAGCAAGUAAAACUUUUAUUAUAUAUUUUUCAUUUUAAAACUUUAUUUUGAUGUGAUUUCUGAAAAUGAGUAUGCUUAAUGGAAGGUCUAAAUCACAUACCUUUCUUGGUUGAAAGUUUGAUCUAAAAGUCAAAUAUUGGUAGAGAUGUACUUUUUGAUGAAGCCUCUACACAAAGAAAACAACAAAAAUAAAUGGUGAGAAUCAUGUUAGUAGCUUAAUUUAAGUAAAGCCAGUUGAUAAAAAAAUAAAAUAAAAAAAUUAUAGAGAACGUAUUAUAUGCCAUCAUAAUACUUGGUGAUAACACAUCAAGAGCAUUAUCUCUAUUUCAGGCAACAGGUAAUGCCAUUGUCUACACUCCAAUAUACUAUUCUCGAAUUGACCUAACCUUUGAGGAGAAUUAUCUUGCAUGAGCUUUAUCAUUGCUCUUAAACUCUUUGCUCAACCCAAUCUAAUAAGUCAAUUUAAAAAGACCUUCACUUCUUUGAUUGUUGUCACCUUAUAUUUAUAUCUCAAGAAAAAAAGCCUUGUGCAAAGUUUUGAAUGCACUAUCAAUGAAAAUAAAUUAAUGUAUUGUGAAUAUACUCAUUUAGAUUUAUUAAAAGCAACUCACAUAUAUAGAUAAACAAGUCAAUUUUUGACUCUUUAACAAAUGGAAGUCCUUUUAUAUUUGAAUUUAAGUUUUUCACACAUCAUUUGUUCUUUCACUCAUUGAAUUAUGUACAAUGAAUUUAUAUUGAAAUAAAAAUUAAAGCAUGAUGUUUAAAAUUUUCUAAAAAAUAAUUUAUCUUUAUGUUUAUAUGUGAUUAAAAGAUCAUUCUUAAGAACAUAUGGCCAUCUAAGAGAUAACUUUCGAACAUUGAAAAAAAUAUUUGAUCUUCCUUUUGAGUUUUUUCAUUCUCACAAUUAAAGAGAGAGGGUCUAUAAAUUAGAGCAACAUCAGAACAUGGUUCUAAUCAUAUCGGCCAUCUAAGCAUCCUGAAAGAAGACUAAUUCAUGACUAGAAGUUGUCAGUUCCAAGGGACCAAGAAAUUAAUGUAGGGUGAGGGAGAAAAGGAUGCAUGCCAAGAUUAAUGGUGUGUUCUCUAAUGGGCAUCAUGCAGCUUAGAGACUUAGGAGACUGCUACCUGAACCUAUUGUUCAAGCUAUCGUAACCCAUCAACGGCAACAAAGAGCAACAGGAGGGAGAGGGGGAGGCCAGGGGGUGCUUUCUUCGGAGUGGAGUGAGUGGUGGCAGUUUAAUAAGGACACGGAUCUUAAAAAGAAUCACUUUUCUUCAUCUUUUGCCGUUGACAACACUACACUACUAGUGGGACUCAAAAUGGAUUUCGUAAUCAAGUCAAGAGCUUGCCUCUCAUUGAUUGUUGAGUUGAUGUUCAUUCAUCCUCCUGGAGACAGGAACAGCCUACCCAAUACCCUAGUUAUCUUAUCCCCUAUAGCCUACCUAGAGGACUUUAGUUCGUAACAAGGUUUGAACAACCCUUGCUGGAUAUGAAAUGGAUCAAGUAGGGCAUCCAUUUACGGUGUGGGAAAUGGAAUUUAUGAUUGAUAUCGUAACUUCAACAUUUGAACAAAUUCAAGGUUCGCAAAACUAGAGACAAAAUGCCUUUACAAAGUAGAGUAUGGUAAGAAUGUCAAACCAUGUAUAAAUUCGAGCUUUCCAAUUUUACUGAUAAGAGUAAACGUAAGAGUUGGAUGUAUGAAGAUAAUAAUUAGCUCAUGGCCCUUUUGUGCCCCUAGAAAAAGAUUAACUCAAGACAUGGCAGCAUCUCCAUAAGAUACUUUUCGUUCAUGAAGUCUGAUGAUAGUGAAUAUUAGACAGUUAUGGAUUCAAAUUCAUCAAUUGAGAUCAGAUAAAGAGUAAAACCAACAUGGUAGGCAUACAUAAUUCAUUUUUAACAGGAAACGACGUGAUUUGUCUAUGAAUCAACAUCGCCACAGGUUUUGGAAAACCACAUGAAAGAUCCGCAGAAACAUAAUGAAAGUGAUAGCUUACAAUUGGAAAUGGGGGAAGAGAUGCAUACGAUUUGCCCUGAUCAGCCUGGGGUGCUCAAGCAAAAACUGCCUCACUUGUGGUCCUCCAUCUCGACGACGUUUUCGCUUCUGAUUCACGAAGCGGCCACUAGCCUGGUUUUGUUGUUCUCCACCAUCAGUUUCCCUCGACAUCACGUCUUCCAUCUCCGGCCUGGCCUCAAGGUCCUCCCGGACAGACGAGCAAUCCCCGGGGGCUUCCAUGCUUCCUACUCCUCGCCAUCCUCAUCUCAAUCUUUCGUGCUCUUCUCCUAUCAUCUCCCCAUUCUCUCAGAUCCCUCGUCCUCGAAGAUCUUUCCUACAGCAACCGGCCUCGCAUCCGGCCACUGUCCCUCCCAACCUCUUCAACGGUGACCGCCCUUUCGUCAAGCCAUUCGGCAACUGUUUCGCGACCUGACUAAGGCGCGGCGCCCCACACUGAAAAGCUCACCAACGUGAUUCCUCCUCCUCAUCUCCAUCUUUUUUCUUCCUCCGCCGAUGGCAGCAGAUAUGAACUUCUUCCUCCCCAUUUCUCGAGAUCCCUUCCCCCGAUCCUCCUACGCCUUCAACCCUCACUCCCUCUGUUCUUCUACGCCUGAUACGAUACCUUCUCCGGCAGUGCUCCACCGCGCUUCCUCCUUUGUCUUCCUCAUCGCCGGCGACGUCCUCCUCCAGCGCAGGAAAGUUCUUCCUCCUCGACCGCCUCUGCAGUCACC
rnacentral:lncRNA from 1 species